rnacentral:rRNA from 1 species
UACGUAGGGUGCAAGCGUUAAUCGGAAUUACUGGGCGUAAAGCGUGCGCAGGCGGUUUUGUAAGACAGGCGUGAAAUCCCCGGGCUCAACCUGGGAAUGGCGCUUGUGACUGCAAAGCUGGAGUGCGGCAGAGGGGGAUGGAAUUCCGCGUGUAGCAGUGAAAUGCAUAGAUAUGCGGAGGAACACCAAUGGCGAAGGCAAUCCCCUGGGCCUGCACUGACGCUCAUGCNCGAAAGCUGGGGAGCAAACAGGAUUAGACUACCGAGUACGU